CAGUGUUGUUCAGUGAAAAACUACGGAGUCUGGAGCCAGCUGCCAGGGUUGAAUCCAACUCUGCACUUAACGAGCUGAGCGCCUUGGGCAAGUUACUUCACCUCUCUGUGCCCCCUAGUUUCCUCAUCUGUUAAAUGGGGAUGAUGAUGGUGCCUGCCUCUCAGGAAGGAGUACUGCCAGGGGUAUUGUUUCAAAACCUCCACAAAUAACUCCGUAAAGGUUCAUGGAUCCUGUGAGAAAAGAAUUAUUAUUGCCAUCAAGGCUGUGUUCCAGCUGAGGAAACCUGGGCCUGGUUUCUUACUGGAGAAACUUAGCAACAUCACGUAGCUGGUAGGUGCCAGAGCCUGAGUUUAAACCCACAGAAGCUAGGAAAAAGAAAAAGGAGGAGAAGAAGAAAAAGAAAAACCCACGGAAGCUGGCUCCGGAGGUCAUGCCCUUUGCCACGGCAUUAUUUUUCGCAGGCAGCACUCCCGUGAGCAUUCAGCUUCCAGAAUACCUUUGCCAUUUUUAUUCCCAAUUCGGGGACAGAUGGUGGCACCAGACCCAGGAGGGCAGAGCCUCUGAGCUCCGCAGCAAACAGUGCCCCCAGGCCAAAGCGACAAGGCCACAGCUCUCCCUGGGCAAACCCGGUUAAGCAGACGUAGGAUGGUUUCCUUCCAAGAACGUCUCUCCUGUCCAUGUCCUUGUCAGUUUUCCCAUCAGGAAAAUGGGCAUGUGUAAUAUGCACCCGUGGCAAUAGCUGCAAGAACUAAUUAGCGCCUGAAAUGUGUGUCAAGAUCCCCGGCGAGAGGUGCUGUAAUAGGGGCAAAGGAUUCUCGCAUGAGUUCCAGUUUUGCCUCCUGUGGCCCGGUCCUCCCUGGGCGGGAGGUGGUGCCCCGUCUUGUUGAGAUCUGAUCUCUAAAUGCAACUGUGUGUUUUCUUUCAUCCAAAUGACUGUGCUCAUCUCGGGAGCAGCCUUUAAUUUUCUUCUUGGAACCGAGGACCAUCCUUACUUACAGCAACAAAAGGUCCCUGGGACGGUGAGGUAAGAUUUGAAUUAAGAUACCUUGGCAUCCUUCACUCCCCGGCAAUUAACGGGCAGCAGGUUUUCAGCAGCACUCACUCUCCUGAGAGCGCCCUUUGUCUCAGGACUGCCUGUCUGUCCUGUUGUCCGUCGUCCCGAUGCAGCAGCCCCCCCCCGGCGGCCGGCUCUCUGCAAGGUGCCAGGCAGGUGCACGGCGUGGCGGGGACCUCCGAGGGCCCAGCCUGAUGGGGAAGCCAUGUGGCUCUCAGACCCCCGUCUGCGUGGCGAACAUCACAUACGGCCGGGCCCCAGUGACUGUCCAGGCGGCCCGUUCUCCCCGUGUCUUCCUCACCCUCACCUGCCUCUGGGCCACCGUUGUUCGUUAUUAGCAUCCCUCUCCGGAGAAGAGAGAAAAGGAGAGAAGAGCCAACCUUUGCUUGUCCGUUUGGCUCCUUGUCAGCGACUCUGGGCCUCCGUGCUACAUUCCAAGUGACAUGUCCACAUUCGCCACGGACAAGAAUGACAGAUGGGGAAAAAUCAUCUUUGACCCUUGAAAGUCGGUCAUGUUUUAUGAGUCCUUGACCUGAGCGAGUUCAUUUGUGAAAGGCGUUAAACGGCAGAGCUGACAGAGGGAUGGCAACUCCGUGCAAAGCGGGGACGGUUCUGGAAGGAGAUUCAGACAUUCCACACGGGAAGCUAGCGCGGUCCGUUCGCUCUGUGGCGUCUACGGAGACCUGCUGAAGGAAUGGAACCUGCCGACGUGCAGAAGGGCCGAACCUCCUGGGAAGGGCUGUGUCCCAGCCACCCCACCGAGGCCGGCCGCCAUCAGGGCCCGGUCGGGGCCUCGGCGUAGUAAGGGAAGUACUUACUAAUAACGGGUGGGGAUGAGCUGGGAGGAAAACGUGAUGGGACUCGUUCAGCCUUGUCCAGGCCACACCCAGUUUAGUCAACGACUUCUGAACCCGGGGAAGGGAAAGGAACACAGUGGCGCUUGGACCGAGGGCUUUGAAAUAAAAAUGUCAACGCGCUCCUGCGAGUGUGGCCCAAUCCCGUUCUCUUCCAGAAGAGAAAUGCCCCACGUGGCCAGGCUGGUCCUGAAAAGGAGCCCCGUCCUGCAGACACCUGACUGUUCUACUGAAGGAACAGCCUGCCGGCCUGAUCUGCUUCCUCCCCUUGAAACAGAGGAACCGGGACUGGCUGCCCCGCUAGAGCUGUGUCAGCAGGAAUCAGAGGGAAUCCGUUUUCUGCCAGGAUGGAAUUGAACCUCCACAGGCAUGCGCUGUGGCGGCAUUUAAAAAUACGUUUUCUAGGCGCCUGAAAUGUAAACGCAGGUAAAAUAAAUAAAAGCCAAUUAACAAUA